GAUGAACGCUGGCGGCGUGCCUAAUACAUGCAAGUCGAGCGAACAGAUGAGGAGCUUGCUCCUCUGACGUUAGCGGCGGACGGGUGAGUAACACGUGGAUAACCUACCUAUAAGACUGGGAUAACUUCGGGAAACCGGAGCUAAUACCGGAUAAUAUAUUGAACCGCAUGGUUCAUUAGUGAAAGACGGUUUUGCUGUCACUUAUAGAUGGAUCCGCGCCGCAUUAGCUAGUUGGUAAGGUAACGGCUUACCAAGGCAACGAUGCGUAGCCGACCUGAGAGGGUGAUCGGCCACACUGGAACUGAGACACGGUCCAGACUCCUACGGGAGGCAGCAGUAGGGAAUCUUCCGCAAUGGGCGAAAGCCUGACGGAGCAACGCCGCGUGAGUGAUGAAGGUCUUCGGAUCGUAAAACUCUGUUAUUAGGGAAGAACAAAUGCGUAAGUAACUAUGCACGUCUUGACGGUACCUAAUCAGAAAGCCACGGCUAACUACGUG
rnacentral:rRNA from 1 species